rnacentral:lncRNA from 1 species
GCAGAGUUAUGAAAUGUAAACUUCACAAGAUACAUGUUUAUGCUUGUCAUCUACUGUACAUAUACCCGCUUGUGGCAUCAAAUAUAUUCAACAGUUUACCAGUUUUUAUAUUUAAUUAUAUCAGCAUGUCUGUUUAUUAAUCACCCUGCAGCACAUGGGGGUGCUUCUAGAAACUGCUCAUUAUUCUGUGUAAUCAUUAACACAGUUUCACUAUCCAUGAAGAAACCAAUGCAAGAAUAGAAGGCAUCACACCUGUGAUGGGAAUUACAAAUAAAGUUCAAAUUUUAGGUUGUAAAGACAAUGUCCAAAAUAUUUACUAGACAUUAAGUCGGUUUUUAAGAAUGGAAGAGGUAUGAAAAAAUAUAAGGGAAUGUCUUAAAAAGUUAAUCCAAAGGAAUGUCUAAUGACACAUUAGCAUCU